CGGGGCUCGGGGCAGAGGGGGUAGGUAGCACGCAGGCUGCACUGGCAGAAUCCAGGGAUGGACACGGCGGCAGUGGGACAAGUAGGCUGAGGAGGGGACAGGGCCCCCAUGACGGCCCGAGUUCAAGCACUUGUGAGUGACCCAGGCGGGAGGCAUUGGCACCCCUGUGAGAGUGAAGCUGGGGUGGCCCGACUGUCCCUGGGAAAGCAGCUCCCCCCUGGGCCACCCCUCCCUGUGUGGCGGCAGGCCAGAGGAGGGGCAAAGGCAGACUGAAGGGUGCGGGGGCAGAAGGGGCUUCCACUUGCCCUGUGCGGCGCUCCCUGGACCCGGCUCCGACCCCUGGGUGUGCACCUGUCGGGCCCAGAGCCAGAAAACCUGGAGUCAGGCAGGUAGACCUCGAGACGACUGCUGUGGAGCGCAGGGGCCGGGCGCCUGGGGGCCCACGGGGCACCCCUCUCCAGGGGCCAGCUCUGCCUGAGGCUCACACUGCCCGGCGUGAUUCCGUGGCUCCCGGCUGCCCACGGUCACAUGGGGAAGGGCCUGGGGCCAGGCAGGAUGGUGGAGGCUGCACAGAACUCGAGUUUCAGCUGGAGCCUGUCUUGGUGGGAAGACAGGAUGGAACGGCACGGACUCUUCUGAAUCCUGUGCAGCCCACGCCCCCCUCCCCAUGACAGGCUGUCUCCAUCUGACUCAUUCCUCUAUUCAGCAUAUGAUAACCGAGCACCCGGAAUGUACUGUCCCCCAUUGGCUUGAGAAGGGACGAGAAAGAUGUGGGCAAGACAGCUGGAUGGCAUCGCAGACUCAGUGGACGUGAGCAGACUCCAGGAGACGGCGAAGGGCAGGGGAGCCUGGCGCGCUGCAGGCCAUGGGGUCGCAGUCGGGCAUGACUGAGGGACUGAACAAAAACAAGGCAGUCUGUGCCCCUAGGGGCUCAUAGCCUGGUAGGGAGGCAGACUCAUAAACAGACAGCCAUUCAAAAAGACAGGUGCCCAGUGGUAACAGUCCAUUUCUGCCUGGGGUAUUCAGGUCAGGCCUUGCAGAGGAAGGGGUGUAGGAGCUGGGGCUUGAUGCAUAGAUAGGAGUUUGCCAGACAUGGAGCAAAGAAGAGAUGUCCCAGCCGCUAGGAACCCGUAAGUCUCAGGGCAAGUGAGAGAGGGCCAAAGGCCAGUCCAGAGGUGGGAGGAGGUGUCUGCAAGGAGGCGCCUUGGGGCCACGUGGCCCAAGUGGCAGCAGGAGGGGGCUUGGGUUUGAGGAAGGUCACAUGGGCCAGCCGGAUGGGGGAGGCCAGCCAGCAGGAGGCGAGGCCGAGGUCAGACCAGACAGGAGCUUCCAGGCCCCCUUGCUUCCGCUCCGAGGUCCCUCUGGGCAUCCAUGCGGCCGAGGCCAGCAGAGAACACAAAGUGUCCAGGGGCCCCGCCAGACUCCCGGACCUUGUCACCUCUCAGGCUGUGCCCCUAGCAGGCUCCCUCCUGCUUGGCUCCUGCCGGCACCAGCCCCAGCUGCUCCUGCGUCUGUCUCCUCAGAGCCCCCCAAGCAGAAGCACCUUCCCACCCCACGCACCUCCCGCUGUCUCCCUCCUUCCCACCGCUUUCUUCCUGACUCUCCUCCAGGUGCCCAAGGGCAGGAGUGGAGCUGGGAGGAGAGGCUGGGCUGGCAGGGACCAGGGACACUCCGGUGGGUGCCGGGAAGGGGCAUGGGACAGGGAAGCAGGGACAGCAAGGCGCUCACGGCUGGUGGCCCCAGGCCCAGGCUGCUCCUCCUGUGGCCAGCCUGACGGGGGCCGGUGCCACGGGCCCCCCUGGUCCAAGCCCCGCGGUGCUCUGUGUUGCCUUGGGCAGAUCACUGAGCCAGCCUGGGCCUCUGUUUCCCCACCUGUAACAUAGCACCUGCCACAUACAAGCGUGAUGAAGAUUAACUGAGUCCUGGGACAGCCGGGGCCCCGAAAUGCCAGAGAUAGAAAUAAAAAAGAAGCCUGAAGAGGAGCACAGCCCCGAGCCAUGCCAGGUUUCGCAGCGGAGAGGGAGGGAGGGAGGAGCUGGCCAAGACACAGCCCCUGUCCUUGGUUGUAUAAAUGGGGAACAGGUCCCGGAGGGUGGCGUUUGGGACGAGGAAGAAGCAGGCUGAGCCCAGGUCGCAGGGCUCCGAGCAGAGCCCUGGACAGAGCCCUGGGGCAUGGGUGCCUGGGGCCUCACAGGAACUGUGCCAAGCCCCAGCCCUCGGCCAGGAGGAUGAGGCAAGGUCUGUGCAGGGGAGCCACCUGGCCAGAAUGAGGUUGGUUCUGGAGAAGGCUUUCCCCUCAUCCGCUGCUGUCUCCCUCCCUCCCUUCGCUUGAUAAACGUCAAAUGAGUACCCAGCACAGGCCAGGUGCUGGGGUGCUCCCACCAGCCCCGCCCAGCACAAUGAAGCAGGGACUCUGUCUUGAGAAGCUCUGGGUCUAGCUGUCAAACAGCCCAGGACAGCCCGUCCCCCGGCCCCACCACCGCCUGCCGGUGCAGCCAGCCUUCCAGUCCUGGGACAGGCCGAAUUGGCUACAGCCCACAGAGCCCGCUUACCUGCGGUCGUGCUGCUGGCUGAGGGCGCCCACCCUGAGGACUGACCAGAGGGCCACCCUGUUCUUGCCUCCCCACUUCCAUCUGUAGGUCCCAGCGGGUCCCCACACAGGCCAGCCGACAGAAGCCUCAUAGGAAAAGGCAGCAUUCAGGCCAAGCUGGGGAGAGGAAAAGCAAGGCGGAGGCCAGUCGGAAUCCAGAGGGCAGGAGGGCACCCACUGGCCACAGACCUUGGCCCAACAGUGAAAUGCACACGUCAGCGUCAUUGUUUCCCUCGCCAAGGAGGGACCCAGGAAAGUGUUUCGACCAGUUCAGAGGUAAAUCCAGGGAAUGCACAGAAAUGGGGGGGAAGACCAUCUGAGAUGGACUGACACAGAGACGCAGCAGGAGUCCCGUGCCAUCCCAGGACAGGGGCCCUCCGCGUGAUGGUAGUCUCCUACAAACACUGAAUCAUAAGCAGCUCCAGUUCAAGGGAAGACAGAGCCACCCGGGACAGAGGGCCACUCUCUCCAGUCCCUGCAGAGGGAGGGCGGGGCAGGGCCCUGGGCACAGGGACAUGGUAGCCAAGGCCAGGUUCUCUGAACAGCUGGCAUUUUGGAGGCAGACGUCUGGACCAGGAAGUACCCCACAGGACAGCAGGCAGAGCCCCCACAGCAGCCCUGGAGUCCAAGGCCCCGGGUGGAGGAGGCCAUGAGCAAGGGUCCCCUGUGUGGGCUGGGCCCAGAGACCCCUGCCAGGACCCAGUCUUCCAGUUGGAUCCCUCCUGUUGGACCAAGGGGUCAUCAUCCAUGCCGAAGCUACAGGCUCCCCUCCUGGCCCUCCGGGAGGAGGCCUGGGGCAAGAGGGGCCCCAGGAGAGAGGCCGACCGGGACUGUCCAUCAGAGGGCCCAGGCCAGAGGCAUGGGGUCGUAGGGUUUCCUCCCUGUGGAGGGUAGGGGCAGCCCACCUCCCAAAUGCUGCCCUUCUGCCCUUCUGUGGGGCCAGCCUCACGAGCCUCAGGACCUGAGUCUUGAACCCAGGCUCUGGGGCUGAAAUCUCAUGACAAGAGCCCCUGGAUGUUUGGGGGCCAGAAACCCCUCCCCAUGGCUGGGAGCCCCCCAGGGUGGGGAAACGGACCUCUGGGAGAGCGGAGCCCUGAGUGGGGAGGGGCCACCAGGGAGGCCAGCCAGAAUCCAGAGGGCAGGAGGGCACCCACUGGGCACCAGUCUCCCCUCCAGCCCCAAACCCCAUCAGGGUCUGGGAGGGAUGCCUCUGCUGGGCAGCGUGGAGCUGGCCUCAGGCGCUGGGAGCCAGGAGAGGGCAUGGCCUGGCUGCAGGCAGGCCCCGGGGUGAUCUCAGGUGCUCCGGAAGGGCACCACCACUGAGACUGCUCACAAGGCACCCCCACGGCCCUGAGGCCUCCCUGAGUGGCCUGCUCCUCACCCACCCCCCUCUUUGGAGGGAAGCUCAGCGCCAGUGGUGGCCCUCAUCCCGCGGGCUCUGGGCAAGGCGGACAGCACCAAGCAACGGAGACAGAGAGGGCCGAAAAUAGGACUGAAAACUUUCUAGUAAUCUCACACACAAAAAAUAAAGAGAUUGAUUCAUUUUAUUUACAUUUUAUUUAACCCAAUAUAACCAAAAUACUUGGUGUGGGGUGUAUUCCAGCCUCCAGGCAGAUGCAAUUGGGACUGCCCCUUGUCGGUGUGCAGAG
ensembl:lncRNA